UCGUCGUCGCAUCGCCCACUCAACUCGCAUCCACCAUUCCGCCCGCACCCCCCGAAUUUCUCCGCCGUCCCAGCGCCGGCGCGACGCCGCAUGCCCCGGCCGAGCGAGUGCUGCUGCCGUCGCAUAUGCCCGUCGAGCGUCGCUUCCGCCUACACAUUCGCCCGCCGCUGCCCCCGACGCAUCUGCCUGGCUCCAAAAAUGCUCAUUUUUGGGGGUCCAAAUUGGCUGAUCUGGCGGCGGUGCUGGAUCCGGUAGCGGCGAAGGCGGCCAGCGGGGAGGAGCAGGUCCUCCAUGGCGGGCGGUGGCACGGAAGUGGGCGGUGAGGCGGCUCGGUGACCGGACGGCCCUCUUCCUCGUCGUUCCCUUCAAAAAGAUCUCACCCCCUCCCCAAAUCCUCCUAGAGAGUGCACUGACAGAUAGAUGGAGUAAUUUCGCCUUAAUCCGUGGUGCUUCCCUUUCUCGACUUAAUCUGUGGUGGUUCCAAAUCCUCCUAAGAGUAAUUGAUGCCCAACAUUCUCCGUCUCAUUUUCAUUGCUGCUUCUCUGGCCGCAGCGUUCUGCGUCUCCUCGAUGAGUAAUCAAUCCAUGUUCAGAGUUAAUUAGGAGUGCAGUAUUUUCGCUAGUUCCUCAUUGCUACAAUUACUCCUGAUUGUGACCCAGCUUCCUAGUUUCAGUCAUUAUUUCUGGAACUUUUCUGAAAUUCGAGUACUAUGAUGAUGCUUAUCUUCUUAAGAACAAAGGAACAAGUGUGGGAGGAUGAUAUCUCUGCUGCUUGCUGUACUUCAAUAUUCUAGACUGUUGUUUAAGUUCUUGGAGUAAAUUCAGUGUUUAAGCAUUUUAUUCAUGGCCACAACAAUAAUUAUGUGAGUGUACUGUAAUCCAAGAGAUUGUUCUUCAUUCUUCUUGUAGGUAAUAGAUUGUUACUGUUAUUGUUGAAGGCGUGGCUCUCUCGGUGCUGUAGCUUCUUCCUCGCCGUGCAGGGACGGCGGCGACGAGCUUCUACCUGGGCUACAACCACCUAGGUGAGUUCCUCCUCUUCUCUAUGGUGCCACAGAUAGCUAGCACUGGACUUGUGACAUGGUCUGAUUCAUGUGUUGCUGCAAUGAUUUGUUCCUGUUAACUGCUGGAGUAGUUGUUCAUCAUCAUUUCAACAUCAUGAUGUACUCCUAUUUUCAGCAAAUUGUUCUGUUUAAAUGUACCAGUAGUAAUCUUGCAAAAUGUUAGGAGUAAAUUACAGUACUCCUAGUAUCAGGAGUAAAUUUUCAGCAAAUUGUUUCUAAUUACUAUGGUCAUUUAAUUUGGAGUUGCUACUGAUUCUAUCUGUUUAUAGCUAUUUGGAGUAGGAGUAGUUCUUUAUAUACCCUGAGUAGUUGUGACCAAACAUAUAAUUUCUGCAGCAAGUACAAAUGUGCUAGAGUAAUUCUUUCUAUUGCUAUGGACAUAUGGGCUAUUUCUUUCUAUUGCUAUGGACAAUAUCUUAUGUAGCCAAAGUUCGCUCUCUUCUCAAAUCCGACCAUGUAGUGUAGUAACCAGUAGUAGUAAUGUGGUGAUUAUCCAGUAGUAACAGAUGUCUGUAAAUGUUCAGUUAAAGCAGCUUAUGGCUUUGGGAAUGUGCUUAUUCAGAUCACACAAUAAGGAAAAAAGAACACUACCAUUAAGGAAUGCUAGAGAAAUGGCAGUGAUAUUGAAGGAUCUGCUUAUUCGGAUAAGAAUUCCAAUUCCAAAACAAAAACCCCUUUCAAAAAAGGGGAGUAGGAUAAGGGCAAAUAAAAAGGCAGGGAGGAGUACACCUUGCUCCUGAUCCAGAAGAUUAAAGGGACUGAUAAUGACCAGGUGAGGUAGGAUUUGGGAACGUGAUACCUUGAUUGUUUUCUGACUGGAUCCGGAGGCCGGAGCACUGUUUGCUUUCCCUGUUCAGUGUUCAUGCUCGCUCUAUCAUUGGGGUUUAUGGCCGUAUGUACAAAGACAUCAUUAUUUUCUUCAUUUCUUUUUGGCAUCAGAUUAUCAGAAGCAUCUCCCACUCCCAUGAAUGUUGUUUCUUUUCUCUUCUUUUCCUUUUUUGCUUGAUAAUAUGAGUACUACAGAAAAACAUGAGUAUUUGCUUGUUUGUAGUGACUUUCAUGCAUUACAUUAAUGCAUAGACAUCUUAGGCAAAGAAUAUUUAAUUCAGUAGUGUAGCAGCAUUAGCUUGCUCCGCUGUAUGCCGUAUGCUCCGCUGUAUGCCGUAUGCUCCGCUGUAUACCAGGACUACAUGUUUAUGGUCUUGCUGCAUUAGUCUAACUUGAGUUGGAAUGGCAGGAUAUAUAUGCAUGAUCCAUGAAUCAAAACAUGACAAUUGUUGAUCAUCUGGAAAUAAAGUACCAUACCCAAAUAAUCUGUUUCAAUUUGAGCAUUUGCUCCUCCAAAUAAUCAUGUCAAAAGCACAGCAAAAUGCACUUUCAUCAGUAUCACCUUAAUUGUGACUUUCUUCAGGUUCUUGUUCUUUCAGCAGUAUUCUUCAGAUUCUUGCUCAUGAGGUUCUUGUUCUGCAGGUUCUGCCGGACAAAGGAGCUCGGAGAGGCGCUGGAGGAGGUAGAGAAUUUGAUAAAAAAAUAGGGCAGCAGCAGCAUUUCAGUUUGGGAAGGUUAGACUGCUGGAGUUGAAGCAGUUGUGGAUUUCUUCAAGGCAAAAAUAGAGCAUUUCCAUAUAGUGAGAUGAAAAGGGUUAGCUUUCAGGUUUUGUUUCAGCAUGCUUUUGAUUCGUCACUCCUGAGAACUAAUUAUUACCUGCCUGCACUACUCCCUCUCCGUAUGUAGUCCAUAUUAGAAAUUCUAAAAAGAAUGCGUGGGACAAAUGUGUGCUCGGUGCGUUAGGUCCUGGUAGUCCUAAAAGCCCAGGGGUCCUUCAUCAUUUUAAUUUGAACACACUUGAUUUUCUGGGUCGAAACUGUAAAUUAGUACGUUGUUGGCCCUGCUGCCCGGCCCACCGAUUAUGCCUUCCUUCAAUGUGGGCAUGAUCAAUCUAGGGGCCCUUCCAAUUUCAUUGUUCCUCCUGUGAUUAUGCCUUCCUAAUCUGGCUUUCCUUCAUCCUUCUUAAUAAGUUAAUAUCAAGUCAGAG
rnacentral:lncRNA from 1 species